rnacentral:rRNA from 1 species
AUUGAACGCUGGCGGCAUGCUUUACACAUGCAAGUCGAACGGCAGCGCGGGCUUCGGCCUGGCGGCGAGUGGCGAACGGGUGAGUAAUGCAUCGGAACGUGCCCAGUAGUGGGGGAUAGCCCGGCGAAAGCCGGAUUAAUACCGCAUACGACCUGAGGGUGAAAGCGGGGGACCGAAAGGCCUCGCGCUAUUGGAGCGGCCGAUGUCGGAUUAGCUAGUUGGUUGGGUAAAGGCUUACCAAGGCGACGAUCCGUAGCUGGUCUGAGAGGGCGACCAGCCACACUGGGACUGAGACACGGCCCAGACUCCUACGGGAGGCAGCAGUGGGGAAUUUUGGACAAAGGGGGCAAACCUGAUCCAGCCAUGCCGCGUGCGGGAAGAAGGCCUUCGGGUUGUAAACCGCUUUUGUUCGGGAAGAAAUCCUCUGGGCUAAUACCCCGGGGGGAUGACGGUACCGGAAGAAUAAGCACCGGCUAACUACGUG